AUUGAACGCUGGCGGCAGGCUUAACACAUGCAAGUCGAGCGGAGAUGAGGUGCUUGCACCUUAUCUUAGCGGCGGACGGGUGAGUAAUGCUUAGGAAUCUGCCUAUUAGUGGGGGACAACAUUCCGAAAGGAAUGCUAAUACCGCAUACGUCCUACGGGAGAAAGCAGGGGAUCUUCGGACCUUGCGCUAAUAGAUGAGCCUAAGUCGGAUUAGCUAGUUGGUGGGGUAAAGGCCUACCAAGGCGACGAUCUGUAGCGGGUCUGAGAGGAUGAUCCGGCACACUGGGACUGCAACACGGCCCAGACUGCUACGGGAGGCAGCAGUGGGGAAUAUUGGACAAUGGGGGGAACCCUGAUCCAGCCAUGCCGCGUGUGUGAAGAAGGCCUUAUGGUUGUAAAGCACUUUAAGCGAGGAGGAGGCUACUCUAGUUAAUACCUAGGGAUAGUGGACGUUACUCGCAGAAUAAGCACCGGCUAACUCUGUGCCAGCAGCCGCAGUAA
rnacentral:rRNA from 1 species